rnacentral:rRNA from 1 species
CGAGAGAGGUUUUGGUGCAUUUGCUCAUAGUACCUGCUGACUGUCCCCCGAAAGGGGGCGUUGGAAUGCUACGACGCGAUACCGCCCGUCUUGAAACACGGACCAAGGAGUCUAGCGUAUGAGCGAGUCAAAGGGGAAAGUGGAUACCCUACGGCGUAGUGAAAGCAAAUUGUGACCCGGUAAAAUGGACCAAUUUGAGGCGGCUGUGAUUCUUCGGAUGAUAGGUCCGACCUAGAGCUCAUACGAUAGGACCCGAAAGAUGGUGAUCUAUGCCUGGGUAGGACGAAGCCAGGGGAAACCCUGGUGGAGGUUCGAAGCGUUGCUGACGUGCAAAUCGCUCGUCAAACCUGGGUAUAGGGACUACAGAUCAAUCGAACCAUCUAGUAGCUGGUUCCCUCCGAAGUUUCUCUCAGGAUAGCUGGCCGACGUUUUUCUAAAAUCGUAAGAUGAAUGGAUAUCAUGUUGUUGUGGGCGGUAGAGCGAAUGAUUAGCAUGUUGGGGGAGUAACCCUUCUCCGGAUGAUUCUCAAACUCUAAAUGCCCACGCAAUGACCCUGGGGGCAUUCUUGCCCCAGUCGCUGAAUAAAAACGUCGGCCGUGUGGGCCACUUUUGGUAAGCAGAACUGGCGAUGCGGGUUGAACCGUACGCGCGUCUAAGGCGCCAAAAUGCCCGCUCAGAGACCCCAAGAAAGGUGUUGAUCCAUCGAGACAGCAGGACGGUGGCCAUGGAAGUCGGAAUCCGCUAAGGAGUGUGUAACAACUCACCUGCCGAAUGGGUUAGCCCUGAAAAUGGAUGGCGCUCAAGCGGGCUGCCGAUGUCGUGCCGUUCGGGGCAAACAAAAUAAAACAUUUUUUUUGUAACUAAUGGUUGGUGUAAAAAUCGAAAAUGAAAAAAAUAUAAAAAUGUUUUAGCUAUCCUUGAAUGAGUAGGAGGGUGUGGAGGUUGCGUCGAAGCGUGCGGGGCAACCUGGCGUGGAGCGGCCUCUAGUACAGAUCUUGGUGAUAGUAGCAAAUAUUCAGGUGAGACCCCUGAAGGUCGAAGCGGGGAAGGGUUCCACGCGAACAUUGAUUGAACGUGGGUGAGCCGUACCUAAGCCAAGUGGCCAUGGCUGCGAUAGGCGAAAGGGAGGCAGGUUGAUAUUCCUGCGCUCGGAUGUAGUUGAUGGCGGUGACGCAAUCUCUUUCCGGGGUGGUGACAUCGGUGGACUCGCUGGGCAGAGUUUUCUUCUCUGUUUGACGCGUACCACGCUGUGUGGAGGCCGAUUAUCGGGAGAAGCACGCGUGAUGAGGCAGAGCGCCGCGAGGUAUUUGCGGCGUCCGGCUUGAGUUAAUCGGUCCUUGAAAAACCACUUGCUGGGUCGAUGGGGGGCAGGGAUGAGACUUAGUUUCCUCUACCUCUUGUCGAUGAUAAAGAAACGACUACGCUGAGACGUACCCAGAACCGCAGCAGGU